GAAACUGCGUAAUGGGCUCGAGUAAAUCAGUUUAUCGUUAUAUUUGGAUAGUUACCUUUAUACAUUAUAUCUUUUAUUUUUUUACAAAUACAUGCAAAAACCUCGACUUCGGAAGGGGUGUAUUUAUUAGAUAAAAAACCAAUGCCCUUCGGGGCUCCUUGGUGAAUCAUAAUAACUUAACGAAUCGCAUGGCCUUGCGCCGGCGAUGGUUCAUUCAAAUUUCUGCCCUAUCAACUUUCGAUGGUAGGAUAGUGGCCUACCAUGGUAUCAACGGGUAACGGGGAAUUAGGGUUCGACUCCGGAGAGGGAGCCUGAGAAACGGCUACCACAUCCAAGGAAGGCAGCAGGCGCGCAAAUUACCCAAUCCCGACACGGGGAGGUAGUGACAAUAAAUACUGAUACAGGGCUCUUUUGGGUCUUGUAAUUGGAAUGAGUACAAUUUAAAUCCCUUAACGAGGAACAAUUGGAGGGCAAGUCUGGUGCCAGCAGCCGCGGUAAUUCCAGCUCCAAUAGCGUAUAUUAAAGUUGUUGCAGUUAAAAAGCUCGUAGUUGAACCUUGGGCCUGGCUGGCCGGUCCGCCUCACCGCGUGUACUGGUCCGGCCGGGCCUUUCCUUCUGGGGAACCUCAUGCCCUUCACUUGGCGUGUAUGGGGAGCCAGCACUUUACUUUGAAAAAAUUAGAGUGUUCAAAGCAGGCCUUUGCUCGAAUACAUUAGCAUGGAAUAAUAGAAUAGGACGUGUGGUUCUAUUUUGUUGGUCUCUAGGACCGCCGUAUUGAUUAAUAGGGAUAGUCGGGGUCAUCAGUAUUCAAUCGUCAGAGGUGAAAUUCUUGGAUUGAUUGAAGACUAACUACCGCGAAAGCAUUUGCCAAGGAUGUUUUCAUUAAUCAGUGAACGAAAGUUAGGGGAUCGAAGACGAUCAGAUACCGUCGUAGUCUUAACCAUAAACUAUGCCGACUAGGGAUCGGACGGUGUUAGUAUUUUGACCCGUUCGGCACCUUACGAGAAAUCAAAAUUUUUGGGUUCUGGGGGGAGUAUGGUCGCAAGGCUGAAACUUAAAGAAAUUGACGGAAGGGCACCACCAGGCGUGGGCCUGCGGCUUAAUUUGACUCAACACGGGGAAACUCACCAGGUCCAGACACAAUAAGGAUUGACAGAUUGAGAGCUCUUUCUUGAUUUUGUGGGUGGUGGUGCAUGGCCGUUCUUAGUUGGUGGAGUGAUUUGUCUGCUUAAUUGCGAUAACGAACGAGACCUUAACCUGCUAAAUAGCCAGGCCGCUUUGGCGGUCGUCCGGUUCUUAGAGAGACUAUACGAAAAAACAAAAAAAACUAGAGGCAAUAACAGGUCUGUGAUGCCC
rnacentral:rRNA from 1 species